rnacentral:lncRNA from 1 species
UUAGUGAAAAAACAGUCUUACUCAGGUUUCUCCUCCUGACUGUGUAUGCCACUAUAUUCAGUAUUUUAGAAUAUUCCUUUUCUACUUAUUUGAUGAGUACAGAAGGAAACAAGCCCUCCCCUGGUUUCAAUUCAAACCCUUGAUUUGAGUGUUUUUUCACUCCAACAUGUUACAGAGAAGAGGAAAGUAGGUGACAAAAGUGUAAAUGCUACCGGGAGUUUUGUCUUUCCAGGAUUUGGAUUUGUCUCUGUUGUCACUCUCAGCUCAGCGGAUUGGAAAUGAGCAGCAGCCAAUCACUGAUCAAGAGGCGGGGAUUAUGACCUGCCCAAUCAGAUGGAAGCAUGAAAAAGGGCUCUUCCGGUGUCAUGGCGCCCACUUCUGCAACCUGAGCACCUGGUUGAGAGCUACACCUCCUGUCUGGACCGCGUUGCUCCAUGGCUCCCACCGGCUCUGUGCUGCGCGGGAAGGACCCUGAGGAACACCCAAGGCACACAAUGCUGGAACUUUGUCAAGCAGCCUUGGAGGUCGGUUGGGCUUCGCCAGGGUUGUGCUUUGGUAGGCCUGCAGAGGGAGAGGGGUGUCGUCUCAUAUCUUUGCUACAGGCGUUAGACUAUAUCUUUGAUUGGCCAGGUGCAGUGGUGAGCCUAGGUGAUCGCAGCACUCAGGAGGCUGAUGCGCAAAAGUUGAUGCCCAUCAUGGGUCACGUAGUGCGACCUUUACUCGGAAAGUAUGGUAUAUAUGCCUUCUAUAAUUAGGUCUCAUUUUCACUGUGAUUUUAUUGCUGUUCCUGUCCAGUUGUUACUCCCUCUCUUGUUUAUGCUUUGCAGUGUAUAGAUUCCUGCUUUUAUUGGUUGUUUUUUAAAUGAAGUGUUUUGCUAUUUAUAGUUCUUAAAAAUGCAAUCUUUAACUGAAACUUUUUUAUUUCAAACUUUGAUGCAAUAUAACUAAAUUAUCAC